rnacentral:misc_RNA from 1 species
GAUGAAGAACGUAGCGAAAUGCGAUAAGUAGUGUGAAUUGCAGAAUUCAGUGAAUCAUCGAAUCUUUGUACGCACAUUGCGCCCUUUGGUAUUCCUUAGGGCAUGCCUGUUCGAGCGUCAUUUAAACCUUCAAGCUAAGCUUGGUGUUGGGUGACUGUCCGCUUCACGGCGGACUCGCCUCAAAAUUAUUGGCGGCCGGUACAUUGGCUUCGAGCGCAGCAGAAACGCGAACUCGGGCCCGUCGUAUUGGCUCCCAGAAGCUAUCUUCACAAUUUUGACCUCGGAUCAGGUAGGGAUACCCGCUGAACUUAAGCAUAUCAAUAAGCGGAGGA